UGAACGCUGGCGGCGUGCCUAACACAUGCAAGUCGAACGAGAACGGCACUAUGAUACCUUCGGGAAGAUUAGUGUGUCAGCUAAGUGGCGCACGGGUGAGUAAUGUAUAGGUAACAUGCCCCUUGGAGGGGGAUAACAGUUGGAAACGACUGCUAAUACCCCAUACUCCUUUUUGACAUAAGUUGAGAAGGGAAAUGGUUUAUUCCGCCAAGGGAUUGGCCUGUAUCGUAUCAGUUAGUUGGUGGGGUAAUGGCCUACCAAGACUAUGACGCGUAGCUGGUCUGAGAGGAUGAUCAGCCACACUGGAACUGAGACACGGUCCAGACUCCUACGGGAGGCAGCAGUGGGGAAUAUUGCACAAUGGACGAAAGUCUGAUGCAGCAACGCCGCGUGGAGGAUGACGCCUUUCGGGGCGUAAACUCCUUUUCUGAGGGAAGAAAAUGACGGUACCUCAUGAAUAAGGGGCGGCUAACUACGUGCCAGCAGCCGCGGUAAUACGUAGGCCCCAAGCGUUAUCCGAAAUUACUGGGCGUAAAGCGAUCGUAGGCGGUCUAUUAAGUUUGGCGUGAAACCCCUCGGCUCAACCGAGGACUCGUGCCGAAAACUGGUAGACUGGAGGUAUGGAGAGGUAUCUGGAAUUGCUAUUGUAGGGGUUAAAUCCGUAGAUAAUAGAAGGAACACCAAAAGCGAAGGCGGGAUACUGGCCAUGACCUGACGCUGACGAUCGAAAGCGUGGGGAGCGAAACGGAUUAGAUACCCGUGUAGUCCACGCCCUAAACGAUGAAUACUCGUGGUUGUGGGGUUCAAAUCCCUCAGUGCCCAAGCUAACGCGUUAAGUAUUCCGCCUGGGGAGUACGGUCGCAAGAUUAAAACUCAAAGGAAUAGACGGGGAUCCACACAAGCAGUGGAGCAUCUGGUUUAAUUCGAAUAUACGCGACCUUACCGGGGCUUGACAUCCUGAGAACUUCUAGAAUAGUAAGGUGCCCUUUCGGGGGAGCUCAGUGACAGGUGCUGCAUGGUUGUCGUCAGCUCGUGCUUUGAAGUGUUCGGUUAAGUCCGUUAACGAGCGCAACCCUCAUCGUAUGUUAUUAUUCAUGCGAGACUGCCAGGUUAACCUGGAGGAAGGUGAGGAUGACGUCAAAUCAGCAUGGCCCUUAAUGUCCCGGGCUACACAGGUGCUACAAUGGGAGGGACAAAGCGCAGCCAAGCCGCAAGGUGGAGCAAAUCGCAUCAAACCCUCUCUCAGUUCGGAUUGGGGUCUGCAACUCGACCCUAUGAAGUUGGAAUUGCUAGUAAUCGCGCAUCAGCAAUGGCGCGGUGAAUAUGUUCCUGGAUCUUGUACUCACCGCCCGUCAAACCACGG
rnacentral:rRNA from 1 species